GAGUUUGAUCGUGGCUCAGGACGAACGCUGGCGGCAUGCCUAAUACAUGCAAGUCGAACGAGGUUUCCUUAAUGAUGGUUGGUGCUUGCAUCAACUUGACUUAAGAUCUAACCGAGUGGCGAACUGGUGAGUAACACGUGGGGAACCUGCCCUUAAGUAGGGGAUAACAUUUGGAAACAAAUGCUAAUACCGUAUAACAACAUAAACCACAUGGUUUAUGUUUGAAAGAUGGCUCUGCUAUCGCUUUUGGAUGGACCCGCGGCGUAUUAGCUAGUUGGUGAGAUAAUGGCUCACCAAGGCGAUGAUACGUAGCCGACCUGAGAGGGUAAUCGGCCACAUUGGAACUGAGACACGGUCCAGACUCCUACGGGAGGCAGCAGUAGGGAAUCUUUCACAAUGGACGAAAGUCUGAUGAAGCAAUGCCGCGUGAGUGAUGAAGGGUUUCGGCGUUACGGUA
rnacentral:rRNA from 1 species